UACGUAGGGGGCUAGCGUUGUCCGGAACCAUUGGGCGUAAAGCGCGUGUAGGCGGUCCGGUAAGUCCGCUGUGAAAGUCGGGGGCUCAACCCUCGGAUGCCGGUGGAUACUGUCGGGCUUGAGUACGGAAGAGGCGAGUGGAAUUCCUGGUGUAGCGGUGAAAUGCGCAGAUAUCAGGAGGAACACCAAUUGCGAAGGCAGCUCGCUGGGACGUUACUGACGCUGAGACGCGAAAGCGUGGGGAGCAAACAGG
rnacentral:rRNA from 1 species